GCUCCCAUGGCGUAGUGGUCACUGCGCUCGCCUUGCCCGCGGGAGACCCGGGUUCGAUUCCCGGCGGGCUCA
rfam:Asian citrus Psyllid, Diaphorina citri - Florida Strain, whole genome shotgun sequence.